rnacentral:rRNA from 1 species
AGCUCCAAUAGCGUAUAUUAAUGUUGUUGCAGUUAAAAAGCUCGUAGUUGGAUUUCUGGUUAAGAAUUUUUAAAGUUUUAAUUGAAAAAUUAACUUUUUUUUCUUUUCCAUCCUCAGGUUUUUUUAAUUUUUAUUAAUUAAAAAGUCUGUCAUUUACUGUGAACAAAUUAGAGUGUUCAAAGCAAGGUUUAUUUACUUGAAUACAUUAGCAUGGAAUAAUAAGAUAGGACUUUGGUGGUUCUUUUUUUUAUUAAAUUAAAGAUAUUUUGUUGGUUUGCACGCCAAAGUAAUGAUUAAUAGGAGCAGUUGGGGGUAUUCGUAUUCAAUUGUCAGAGGUGAAAUUCUUGGAUUUAUAGAAGACGAACUACUGCGAAAGCAUUUACCAAGGAUGUUUUCAUUA